rnacentral:rRNA from 1 species
AGUGAACGCUGGCGGCAGGCCUAACACAUGCAAGUCGAGCGGCAGCGCGUCCGACCACCCUCGGGUGGUCGGAUGGCGGCGAGCGGCGGACGGGUGAGGAAUGCAUCGGAAUCUGCCUCGUUGUGGGGGAUAACGUAGGGAAACUUACGCUAAUACCGCAUACGACCUACGGGUGAAAGUGGGGGACCUUCGGGCCUCACGCGAUGAGAUGAGCCGAUGCCGGAUUAGCUAGUUGGCGGGGUAAAGGCCCACCAAGGCGACGAUCCGUAGCUGGUCUGAGAGGAUGAUCAGCCACACUGGAACUGAGACACGGUCCAGACUCCUACGGGAGGCAGCAGUGGGGAAUAUUGGACAAUGGGGGGCAACCCUGAUCCAGCCAUGCCGCGUGUGUGAAGAAGGGCCUCGGUUGGUAAGUACGAC